rnacentral:rRNA from 1 species
AUGAACGCUGGCGGCGUGCCUAAUACAUGCAAGUCGAGCGAACAGACGAGGAGCUUGCUCCUCUGGCGUUAGCGGCGGACGGGUGAGUAACACGUGGAUAACCUACCUAUAAGACUGGGAUAACUUCGGGAAACCGGAGCUAAUACCGGAUAAUAUAUUGAACCGCAUGGUUCAAUAGUGAAAGACGGUUUUGCUGUCACUUAUAGAUGGAUCCGCGCCGCAUUAGCUAGUUGGUAAGGUAACGGCUUACCAAGGCAACGAUGCGUAGCCGACCUGAGAGGGUGAUCGGCCACACUGGAACUGAGACACGGUCCAGACUCCUACGGGAGGCAGCAGUAGGGAAUCUUCCGCAAUGGGCGAAAGCCUGACGGAGCAACGCCGCGUGAGUGAUGAAGGUCUUCGGAUCGUAAAACUCUGUUAUUAGGGAAGAACAAAUGUGUAAGUAACUAUGCACGUCUUGACGGUACCUAAUCAGAAAGCCACGGCUAACUACGUG